UCCCUCGGCCCGGGGAGGAGCGGGACAACUCCGAGCAUCAGCUCGAGGGAGUGAGCGCGACCCUGGGCACCGGUUUAAAUCAGUCACCUGAGCACCGAGGGGCCUUGGCGCGAGGAGGAGGGCAGCCGGUGGCGCUCCCGAAAUCCACCCCCCACCCCUCAACUUGGCCCCAAGUUUUCGAGGCGGCUGCGGGCAGGAGGGCUUCCCCACGCCUUAGAUGAACAGAAGAGAUUCUUGGGUCCUAGAGACCAAAGAAAGAAUCAGCAGGAAUGCCCAGGGUGAAUGAUGGAUUGCAGAGCCUGGCUGGUAACUGUGAAUGAAGCUGAGGAGAGAAAUAAAGGAGAUAGUCACCAGUCUACACACUAUGGACCUGUCUACACAGACAGGGUGCAGUCCAAAGACUUCCAGGAAGAAACGGCACCUCUGCCUCCAUAUUCUUUAGUUCCAGAAAGGUGAAAAUUGACACACCGUUAAAACUCAAGGCAACCAAAGCUCCAUGUCCUCAACCAGAGCUCUCAUUUUAAGUCAGGAAAGUCUUUGCUCUGCAUCUUACCUGAUGAGAAGAUGAGAAUGUGUUCUUUGAGAUCCUUUCUUCCACAACAGAAAUAAGUGUUUGUUUUAGAAAAUUUGAAUUGGAUAUUUUUAACCAUCAGUCUCUAAGAUGCCUUGUUGAUAGAGUAAAUUUAAAAAUGAAUCUGUAUUGAAUCUGGACAAAUAAACCACAGUUUGAAGCUCCAAAAGAAAUGCAUACCAUUAACUGUCAUCUUUCAAUAUUAGUUUUCUCUGAAUGUAUGUGGUCAUAAAUCUUUCUUUAUGUUUCUGUCUAUUGGUAAUUUCAUACAAAUGGAAUUGUCUAUGUUAUUUUGCAUUAAUCUUCUUUCAUUUGCAGAUCAUUUUAAAGCAUCAUUCACAACAUAUCUGUGCAUAACUGUGGAUAAUUAUGUAACUUCAAUAUGGGGGUUGCAGUAAAUUUGGCCAAAGCAGAAGACCCUGAAUAUACAGCAACAAAAUCCCUGAUGAUUCAAAAGCAAACACGUGAUGAGUUUAUUGUGUGUCUGUGGUCUUGCUUGCACUGUGGUGCCCUGUCACUUCAUUGCAGUCUGCAUUCGGAAGCACAAGAUUUGCAACGUCUUCUACAGUCCCUCACACCCUGUGGGCUCACCGGUGGCCUGACAUACCUCAGCUCAGGAUUGAAACUAUUGUAUGCAAUUAUUAAAUUCAGUGCUUUUACGAAA